rnacentral:rRNA from 1 species
GUUCCUACGGGGGGCAGCAGUGAGGAAUAUUGCCCAAUGGACGCAAGUCUGAGGCAGCGACGCCGCGUGGGUGAUGAAGGCCUUCGGGUCGUAAAGCCCUUUUCUGUGUGACGAGCAAGGACGGUAGCACAGGAAAAAGUCUCGGCUAACUACGUGCCAGCAGCCGCGGUAAAACGUAGGAGGCAAGCGUUAUCCGGAGUUACUGGGCGUAAAGCGUGCGUAGGCGGGUCGGUAAGUGGGUGGUGAAAGCGCCGGGCUAAACCGGGCGAGGUCCAUUCAGACUGUCGACCUAGAGGCGGAUAGAGGGGUGCGGAAUUCCGGGUGUAGCGGUGAAAUGUGUAGAGAUCCGGAGGAACACCAGUGGUGCAAACGGCGCCCUGGGUCCGAACUGACGCUGAGGCACGAAAGCGUGGGGAGCGAACGGGAUUAGAUACCCCGGUAGUC